UACGUAGGGGGCAAGCGUUGUCCGGAAUCAUUGGGCGUAAAGCGCGUGUAGGCGGCCCGAUAAGUCCGCUGUGAAAGUCCAGGGCUCAACCCUGGGAUGCCGGUGGAUACUGUCGGGCUCGAGUCCGGAAGAGGCGAGUGGAAUUCCUGGUGUAGCGGUGAAAUGCGCAGAUAUCGGGAGGAACACCAAUGGCGAAGGCAGCUCGCUGGGACGUUACUGACGCUGAGACGCGAAAGCGUGGGGAGCAAACAGG
rnacentral:rRNA from 1 species